UGGGGAAUUUUGGACAAUGGGCGAAAGCCUGAUCCAGCAAUGCCGCGUGUGUGAAGAAGGCCUUCGGGUUGUAAACACUUUUGUCCGGAAAGAAAUCCUUGGCUCUAAUACAGUCGGGGGAUGACGGUACCGGAAGAAUAAGCACCGGCUAACUACGUGCCAGCAGCCGCGGUAAUACGUAGGGUGCAAGCGUUAAUCGGAAUUACUGGGCGUAAAGCGUGCGCAGGCGGUUUGCUAAGACCGAUGUGAAAUCCCCGGGCUCAACCUGGGAACUGCAUUGGUGACUGGCAGGCUAGAGUAUGGCAGAGGGGGGUAGAAUUCCACGUGUAGCAGUGAAAUGCGUAGAGAUGUGGAGGAAUACCGAUGGCGAAGGCAGCCCCCUGGGCCAAUACUGACGCUCAUGCACGAAAGCGUGGGGAGCAAACAGGAUUAGAUACCCUGGUAGUCCACGCCCUAAACGAUGUCAACUAGUUGUUGGGGAUUCAUUUCCUUAGUAACGUAGCUAACGCGUGAAGUUGACCGCCUGGGGAGUACGGUCGCAAGAUUAAAACUUAAAUGAAUUGACGGGGUCAUAGCUGUUUCCU
rnacentral:rRNA from 1 species